rnacentral:rRNA from 1 species
AUAUGUAAAUUUAAAGUAAUUUAUAAUUUUUAAAAAGGAAUUCGACAAAAGAAUUUUUUACCUGUUUAAUAAAAACAUCUCUUUUUGAUAAUAAUUUAAAGUAGGGCCUGCCCACUGAAUUUUGAAGGGCCGCAGUAUUUUGACUGUGCAAAGGUAGCAUAAUCAUUAGUUUUUUAAUUGAAAGCUUGUAUGAAUGGUUUGAUAAAAAAAUAAUUGUCUCUUUAAAAAAAGUAGAAUUUUAUUUUUAAGUUAAAAAGCUUAAAUAAAUUUAAAAGACGAGAAGACCCUAUAGAGUUUUAUUUUUAAAGAUUUUAAUAAUUUUAGUAUUUAAAUUUAAUAAAAUUUUAAAAAAUUUGAUUGGGGUGAUUGAAAAAUUUAAUUAACUUUUUUUUUAAUUAAACAUUAAUAAAUGAAAAAUUGAUCCUUUAUAAGAUUAAAAGAUUAAAUUACCUUAGGGAUAACAGCGUAAUUUUUUUUAAAGUUCUUAUUGAAAAAAAAGAUUGCGACCUCGAUGUUGGAUUAAAAUUUAAUUUUGGUGUAGAAGCUAAAAGGUUUAGGUCUGUUCGACCUUUAAAAUUUUACAUGAUCUGAGUUUAAACCGGUGUGAGCCAGGUUGGUUUCUAUCUUUAAAAUAUGAAUAUAUUAUAGUACGAAAGGACCUAAUAUAAAUUUAAAAAAUUUAAAUUGAAUA